rnacentral:lncRNA from 1 species
UGGGAUUGUCCCAUUUAAACUGUUGGUUGCCAAAUCCAAUUCUUCCAGUGCUGCCAUUUCUCCAAGUGUUCCGGGGAGUUCUCCAAUCAAAUUCGAUCCGCGUAUAUACAAAGUCUUCAAGUUUUUCAACUUGGUGAAAUUGGAAGGUAGAUUCCAUGGCACAAGUUUUGUAUUGAAAGAGAGACUUAGGUGUUUAAGAUUGGACAAGUUACCUAUUUCUGGUGGCACGGAACCAUUAAAGUUGUUCAUAUACAGCUGCAGGUUCCUGAGCUCUUGUAACCGCCCAAUAGCCGCCGGUAUGUCACCAGAAAAGUAGUUAGCGCUAAGGUCAAGGUAUUGAAGCCGAUGCAAGCUAUCGAUAUCGUCAGGAAUCUUGCCAUCAAAGGAAUUUUGAGAGAGGUUCAAGUACUGUAGCUUUGAACAGUUGUAGAAAGCUUUUGGGAACUCUCCAGCAAAGUUGUUGUAGCUGAGAUCAAUGAGUGUGAGGUUCUUGAGAUCACAAAUGAAAGGUGGAACUGGUAGGGUGAUGUUCGUGUGGACCAGAGACAAUCCGGUGACGGAGUUGUUUGUGCAGGUGAUCUCAGGCUGCCAGGAACAGUGGGAAGUGUUUGAUGUUGAUGGAAUCCAAUGACUGAGGAACGGUGGAGAUUGCAAGUAUGACUUUAUUUUUAGCAGAACAGCUUGUUCUUGGUCUUGCAAUGACUGAGAGUUGGCAUGGCUGAUGAGGAGGAGGGGGAGGAAGAGAAGGAAGCAGAGAUGGGUGUGGAGAGAAGAUGUUAGGGUAGGUUCAGUCAUUUGGUGAUGGAGGUUCAGAAGUUGGUUUGUUCCCGCGGCAUGAACUCUGGUUUUGAUGACAAGACAAGUAAGUUAAGGGAAGUUGAUUUCCUUGUAGUGUUGGAAAGUGGAAACUUCAAAACCAUUUGCAGGGCCACAAACGAAUGCAAACUUUUGGCAAUUUGAGUGGAGGACCUGGAAAAUGAUGGUCAACGGAGACCAUUUAGCCUACCACCAAUUAGUGGAGGACCUGGAAAAUUAUGGCAAUUUGAGUGGAGGACCUGGAUUGUUCUUAUCAGUUAGCUUAGCUGUUAACUUAUUAUAUUCGAAGGUUUGUUCACAAGAAACAAAGUUAUAUCAGGAGCCCAACCAAUUGACUUUUUGUUUUGUUUUGAUCAAAUGUGGGUCAGGGGUUCGAACUUGGUACCUCAUCCAACGUGGGGAAGAGAAGUAGCACUAGACCAAGAGCUACUUGAUACCAGUUGAUAUUCUAUAUAUGUUAUGGUUAUGGCAGCUAAAAUCCUCUCCUUCCUUCCUUGCCAAAGUUUUAAACUGCAAGAAAUUAUAUUGUUAAAGCCACAAAUGUCUGCAGAAGAUAAGGCAAGUUUUCGAAUAAAACAAGGCAGGCUGAAAGCCAAACGUGACGUACGUGAAGGGCAAGACGGCAUUGAAAGUUCCUUCCUGGAAUGUCACGUGUGAACAGAGAACGCCAUUGUUGAAUGAAGACUUGAUUUAUUGCUUUUUAAUUUUAAUGGGAGACUUUGAUCCCAUAUUGUUAUUAUUUUCCACUGAUACAGACGGGAGGAGAAAAAUGAAAAAAAAAAUUCCACUGGAAUGAAAAGUUGCAGAGGUGUGACGAAAUGGCAUUAAUUGGAAAACAAGCAAGAACCUAGGUGGGUGGGUUGUUGUCCUAACACACUCACGUUUGUUUGUUUCAGUUCUAGAAGAUGCACAAAAUUUCAAUUCAUGUGGGCUUUGAACUUUGGAGAAAAGUUGAGUCAUGAUAUCAAUGGGUUUUGGUGGAAAUAGAUUUGUAGUCUGUCAAAUAUAUGGACUGCAUUAUUUCUAAAAGCUGAUAGUGAAAAGCAGUAUGCAUCCAGAUGCAGUGCAGGGCCAACAACCAAGAUGCUGGAAAAAAGAAAUGCAAGUUUUCUGUUGACCAAUCUUGGCCUCUCUUCUUCUACUCAAACUUUAUGUGUAUCAUGUGAACUUUUGACUCAAAAACCAAGCGUCAAGGACCUUGCUGAUAACUUAAUGAAAUCACAAAUUUCUUUAGAUAUUAAUUAGAUAUUAUCACGUUCGCACGUGCAGGUGCAAACUGUAUGAAGUUAGUUAUUUACCCCAAAAGAAUUCAGAAAAAUUAUUUUCAUAUUGUAUGAAGUUUGUUGACUCAAAAAAGUCACCACUCACCACUCACCACUCACCUACAGGAAGCCCACGAAAUUAGUUUGGGCCUUGACUGAUUGAAUUGACUGCUUAGGGCCCUCAGUUUUCUACUUUGUUUUUGUUUUUGGUUUUUAAUGUAAGAGAGAGUCUAAGCCCAGUUUGGUCUGGUCCGUUAUUUUCUCUCUUGAUUAAAGUCCGUUCGGCUUGGCCCAAGCCUAAUAAAUUUUGGACCGAAUUGGCCUGGCCCAUUGACUAGGCUUAGCUACAAGGGGGAGAGGUUUCUCUUACACAUACAUUACGUAUCAAGGUGUCAUGAGAGUUCAAACUAAGACCACUAGUUAGCAAGUGAAUGCCCUUUUCCACUUGGCUAGACCCCGUUGGCUCCUACUUUGUUUUAUUAUUACUGAGUUAAAAUUAAAAUAGAGAAUCCCCUAAUAUAAAUUGAAUUUCCUUAUGCUUAAAGGACUAUGUUUGGUCAGACCGAAACAAAAAGGACUGGAAAUCUCUACAAAUGAUAAAAUAGAGAAAAGGGCACUUGUUUUCACAUCCCGCAUCAAUUAGUAUCGCACCGUUGAGUAGCUACUUAUCAGAUUGGCAAAAUCCUUGAACGGCUAUAAUCUAAUGCUUGGCUAACAAGUAAAGGAUUAUGAACGGCUAUGGUUACGUGCGAGUUUAAUGAGAUUAGGAUUCGUUUUUAGUUUCGUUCUAUGUAUUUUAUUUUCAAUUUCACGUUUGUCCCAGUGAGAUUAGGAUUUCCUUAUUCUGAAAGGAUAGGAUUUUGGUCUGAAUUGUUUAUAAAUACAAGUCCACUUGUUCUCACACUUGGCAUAGCAAGAAAAGAAACCCAGUAGAGUUACCUCAAUCAAAGACGAUCCAUCAAUAUCACUAAUCUUCGUCUUCUUUUUUGACAGUGCAAGCAAACUUGUUGAAGAUGGACUUCGAGCAGUUUUAUCGUUGUUACUCUGUCUCCUCAAUUGGCAAGCCACAUGCGGAAAACGGUGAUAAAAUUAUAAUGCCGCCGUCGGCUCUCCAUCGCCUUGUUUGGGGUCCACAGGUGGCCUACCCUAUGCUGUUUCAGCUCAACAAUCCCAAUUCUGAAUCUGGACGAGUUACUCAUUGCGGGGUCUUGGAAUUUGUUGCCGAUGAGGGCUUUGUAUUUUUACCAUCUUGGAUGAUGCACAACCUGCUUUUACAAGAGGGUAACCUUGUUCAUGUCAAAAGCCAAAGCCUUGGGAAGGGAACAUAUGUCAAACUGCAACCUCACACCAAGGACUUUCUUGAUAUCUCAAACCCUAAAGCCGCUCUGGAGACGGCGUUGAGGAGCUACUCUUGUUUAACCAUUGGUGACACUAUCAUGCUUCCUUAUAACAGUAAGAAGUAUUACAUCAACAUAAUUGAAACAAAGCCCUCCUCUGCAAUCUGUAUAGUUGAUACCGACUGCGAGGUUGAUUUUGCCCCUCCUCUUGAUUAUGUGGAGCCUGAAAAGAAGCCAGCACCAUCCACUCUGCCAACGAAGAGACCACAAGAAGUUGAAGAAGAUGAACAAGAGACACCUGAAAAGAUAGCAAAGUUCAGUCCCUUUACUGGUUCAGCCAGACGAUUGGAUGGAGAACCGGUCUUGACACAAUCCGUUGCACCUGCAGUUCCCUCUCCUCCGGAACUCAGGCAGCGCCAACUGGAGAGUGAAAAUGGAACCAACAAAAAGGGUUCUAAGUCAUCAGCUUCUGCUUCACUUCAACAUUCUGGAAAGCUUGUGUUUGGUUCAAAUGUGAACCGGCCUGUGAAUGCAAUCCCAAAAGUUGCCCCAAACAACCGCAGCAGGCAAGAGCCCCCUCACAAGGCAGAAGAGCCAAAGUUGCAAGCAUUCACAGGGAAGAAGUAUACCCUGAAAGGGUGAAGUUAGGGCAUAUCGAUCCUUCAUCUAAAACAUAUGAAUUAAACGCUUAGCUAAUAUGUAAAGGGUUAGGAACGGCUAUGGUUGAAAACUUGGAUAAUAAGUAACACCCAGAGUGGGAGAAUCUGUUUCCUUUAUUAUUUGCUUGUUCUGAAUACCAUCAAUUAAAUUUUGAAGCAAUUGGAAUUGUUAUCUUUUCUACUCCUUGUUCUCUGAUUCUUCCUUUUGUAAUUUUCAUACAUGAUUGGUGCCAUUAAAAUAACAACUCAAUGUACGUAAUAAAUAUCUUUCAUACAUACAUUACACAUAAUUGGUAUUGUUUGCUUGUUAAGCUCAUUUAUCCUGGAUUGGAUUGCGUAAUAAAAUCAGGGAUGUAAACUGUGAGUAGUUUACUUUUAUUGCUUGCACUCUCAGGGAAUUAAGUUGCUUGCAUCUCUAAAUCUUCUCAAUGGUGGGAUGACUUUUGUUGAGCAUCGGAGCAAGAUAUGCAGAACCUGCUUCACUAAUUUUCUCUAAGACUGUUAUCAGAUAUACAAGCUGUAGCAUUACAUUGCAAUCACUAAUCAAGAUCAAUGCACAAUUCUGAGUUUUCUGUUCUCUGCUUUCUUCCUUAUUCUUCUCUAAAUUCCUCUACUGUCAUCAACAACAUCGCCUGUACGAUUGACAGGAACACAAUAAACUUUUCCUGAGCCGCCACUUCCAAUCAUAAUACUUUUUGAAACUCUGAAAUUCAACCUCUGAAAUAAGGUGAGCUUCCAAUCAGAAUCCGAUCUGUUUCUCUUCCAAUAAGCUCUGACCAUGAAGAAUGAUAAGGACAAAGCCAACAAGGACAAAAGUAUGCCCAAAGUUAAGAUCAAUGCAAGAUAUGUAGACCAAAUUUUGCUGGAAUUUCGAGGUUGAAAAUUACAUAUGCUGAGUUUUGCUGAGGGCCUAGCUGCACAGAGACCUUGAUUGUCCAAGAAGCUUCUGUCAUAAGCAGGAUUUUCAAAUUCAAUUGGGAUCUUCCCAGAUAGGUGAUUGGAAGAAAGAUUGAAGUUGCUGAGCUUCAGAUUCCCAAGUUGAGCUGGAAUUUGGCCAGAAAAUUGGUUUUCUGAAAGGUCCAGUUCAGUAAUGACUGGUAGAAGACCAAGUCCUGCUGGAAUUGGUCCAGAGAGUUGAUUUCGACUCAAAUUAAGAGCGUUGAGUGAUUUCCAUGAUAUAAUCUCUGAUGGAAGGAAGCCAGUAAGCUGAUUCUGAUCAAGAGAAAGAGUGAUUAAGCUAGGAAGAGUAGUAAGUUUCUGAGGGAUAGUACCGUUAAAAAGGUUAUUACCGGCGUCAAAAACCUUCAAGUUCCAGGAUGACACCCCGGUUGGAAUGUUACCUGAAAAUCUGUUAUCUCUUAUUUCCAGCCGUGUAAGAUUCCGAGACAUUUUCUCAGGAAGCUCACCGGUAAGAGAGUUGUUGCUCAUCAGCACGUGAAUCAAGUUUGGUGCUGUCCACAUGCCACUAGGAAUGUUCCCAGACAAUCCAUUACCAUAAACCUUCACUUCUGUUAAACUAGUGCAAUUUCCAAGAGAGCUUGGUAACUCCCCAGUGAGAUUGUUCUCAUAAGCUACAAGUGUUGACAGCUUACCCCAAUAGCACAAAUGGUCUGGCAGUUUGCCAGUGAGCCUAUUCCCCGAAACCUCGAACCCUUCAAGCUCUGAAUACCUUCCAAAGUCUGGAGGCAAUGUUCCAGACAAAUUAUUGAUGAACACUCUGAACUGUUUGAGAUUUGGUAAACGGCCAAUGCUUGCUGGAACAGCACCAGAAAAACCAUUUAAAAACAAAGCUAACCAUGUUAAUUUGGUAAGGUUUCCAUAAUCUUGUGGUAUUGGGCCUGUUAAAUAGUUUGUAGAAAUAUCAAUGACAGUCAAGUUCAAUGCUUCAACCACUUGAGGUACAUCCCCAGACAGGCUGUUGUUGUAGAGAUAGAUUAUACUCAAAUUCUUCAACAGAAACAAAACACUUGGGAUUGUCCCAUUUAAACUGUUGUAUGCCAAAUCCAAUUCUUCCAGUGCUGCCAUUUCUCCAAGUGUUCCGGGGAGUUCUCCAAUCAAAUUCGAUCCGCGUAUAUACAAAUUCUUCAAGUUUUUCAACUUGGUGAAAUUGGAAGGCAGAUUCCAUGGCACAAGUUUUGUAUUGAAAGAGAGACUUAGGUGUUUAAGAUUGGACAAGUUACCUAUUUCUGGUGGCACGGAACCAUUAAAGUUGUUCAUAUACAGCUGCAGGUUCCUGAGCUCUUGUAACCGCCCAAUAGCCGCCGGUAUGUCACCAGAAAAGUAGUUAGCGCUAAGGUCAAGGUAUUGAAGCCUAGGCAAGCUGUCGAUAUUGUCAGGAAUCUUGCCAUCAAAGGAAUUUUGAGAGAGGUUCAAGUACUGUAGCUUUGAACAGUUGUAGAAAGCUUUUGGGAACUCUCCAGCAAAGUAGUUGUAGCUGAGAUCAAUGAGUGUGAGGUUCUUGAGAUCACAAAUGAAAGGUGGAACUGGUAGAGUGAUUUUCGUGUUGACCAGAGACAAUCCGGUUACGGAGUUGUUUGUGCAGGUGAUCUCAGGCUGCCAGGAACAGUGGGAAGUGUUUGAUGUUGAUGGAAUCCAAUGGCUGAGGAACGGUGGAGAUUGCAAGUAUGACUUUAGUUUUAGCAGAACAGCUUGUUCUUGGUCUUGCAAUGACUGAGAGUUGGCAUGGCUGAUGAGGAGGAGGGGGAGGAAGAGAAGGAAGCAGAGAUGGAUGUGGAGAGAAGAUGUUAGGGUUGGUAUAGUCAUUUGGUGAUGGAGGUUCAGAAGUUGGUUUGUUCCCGCGGCAUGAACUCUGGUUUUGAGGACAAGACAAGUAAGUUAGGGGAAGUUGAUUUCCUUAUAGUGUUGGAAAGUGGAAACUUCAAAACCAUUUGCAGGGCCACAAACAAAUGCAAGCUUUUGGCAAUUUGAGUGGAGGACCUGGAAAAUGAUGGUCAACGGAGACCAUUUAGUCUACGACCAAUUAGUGGAGGACCUGGAAAAUGAUGGCAAUUUGAGUGGAGGAACUGGAAAAUGAUUGUGCUUAUCCGUUAGCUCAGCUGUUAACUUAUUAUAUUUAAUUGUUUUUUUACAAGAAACAAGUUAUAUCAGGAGCCCAACCAGUUGACUUUUUGUUUUGUUUUGAUCAAAUGGGGGUUCGGGGGUUUCGAACUUGGUACCUCAUCCAGCGUGAGGAAGAGAAGUAGCACUAGACCAAAAGCUACUUGAUACCAGUUGACAUUCUAUAUAUGUUAUGGUUAUGGCAGCUAAGAUCCUCUCCUUCCUUCCUUGCCAAAGUUUUAAACUGCAAGAAAUUAUAUUGUUAAAGCCGCAAAUGUCUGCAGAAGAUAAUGCAAGUUUUCGAAUAAAACAAGGCAGGCUGAAAGCCAAACGUGACGUACGUGAAAGGCAAGACGGCAUUGAAAGUUCCUUCCCGGAAUGUCACGUGUGAUCAGAGAACGCCAUUGUUGAAUGAAGACCUGAUUUAUUGCUUUUUAAUUUUUAACGGAAGACUUUGAUCCCAUAUUAUUAUUAUUUUCAAUCGAAACAUUCUGAAGGGUAAGAAGAAUAACGGCAGCACGUCUGGUUUUCCACUGAUACAGACAGGGGAAGGAGAAAAAUGGAAAAUAAAAUUCCACUGGCAAAGAAAAGUUUCAGAGGUGUGACGAAAUGGCAUUAACUCAUGUGGGUGGGUUGUUGUCCUGACCCUAACACACUCACAUUUGUUUCUUUCAGUUCCAGAAGAUGCACAAAAUUUCAAUUCAUGUGGGCUUUUAACUUUGGAGAAAAGUUGAGUGAUGAUAUCAAAUCAAUGGGUUUUGGUGGAAAUAGAUUUGUAGUCAAAUAUAUUGACUGCAUUAUUUCUAGAAGCUGAUAGUGAAAAGCAGUAUGCAUCCAGAUGCAGUGUCACUUGUGAGCUUUUGAGUCAAAAACCAAGCGUCAAGGACCUUGCUGAUAACUUAAUAAAAUCAAAAAGUUCUUUAGAUAUUAAUUAAGGGAUAUGAUUUCCCCACUCCCCUUUUCUCCACCUACACUCCCUUUUGCUUGUUAAUACUUUUUAAUCAAUUUUGUUCAUUUUCUUUCCUAUUCUACCUUUACCUUGCUGAGCAGGCCUGUGAAUGCAAUCCCGAAAGUUGCCCCAAACAACCGCAGGCAAGAGCCCCCUCACAAGGCAGAAGAGCCAAAGUUGCAAGCAUUCACAGGAAAGAAGUAUACCCUGAAAGGGUGAAGUUAGGGCAUAUAGAUCCUUCAUCUAAAACAUAUGAAUUAAACACUUAGCUAAUAUGUAAAGGGUUAGGAACGGCUAUGGUUGAAAACUUGGAUAACAACACCCAGAGUGGGAGAAUCUGUUUCCUUUAUUAUUUCCUUGUUCUGAAUACCAUCAAUUAAAUUUUGAAGCAAGUGGAACUGUUAUCUUUUCUACUCCUUGUUCUCUGAUUCUUCCUUUUGUAAUUUUCAUACAUGAUUGGUGCUAUUAAAAUAAGGGAGAUUCACUAUUAUACCCAAUAUAUGAGCUGAAAUUAUUAUUUAAAAAAAAAAAAACCCUUAUAUGAAAUAGAUUUUAGAAAGACACCCAAAGCCUAUUUACAACAUAACAAAAAGGCUUUUAGCUUAUUUUAAAUUACAAAACUAUCACUAAUUUCUUAAAACAAACCCAACUCCAAAAUCUCAUAAAAAAACCCAAAACACCAAAAGGGCAUCAAAGUAACUUAAUAAUCAAAAUUAAAUUUAAUAGGGCCACUGUCAUUUUUUAGGUUUUUUCUUUUUUUUAUAGAAAUUAAAUGGUGUAGAGUUUAUCUAUAUUAUUAGUGCUAAGAAUGGGUACAUGACUAAAUAUCCCUUAAAAUAACAACUCAAUGUACGUAAUAAAUAUCUUUCAUACAUACAUUAUACAUAAUUGGAACCGUUUGGUUGUUAAGCUCAUUUAUCCUGGAUUGGAUUGCGUAAUAAAAUAGGGGAUGUAAACUGUGAGUAGUUUACUUUUGUUGCUUGCACUCUCAGGGAAUUAAGUUGCUUGCAUCUCUAAAUCUUCUCAAUGGUGGGGUGACUUUUGUUGAGCAUCGGAGCAAGAUAUGCAGAACCUCCUUCAUGGAAGGCCUAGCAGAAGGAAGUGUCUCGGUGCAAUAGAUGCCAAGUUUGAAAACGGAGCACAUUUCAUCCAAGUAACAAGGUUCUUUGAUGUCCUGGUCCAGAGCAUCGACAAGUGGGUAGUUUUCUUGAAAGUGGUGCCGCGCCCAUUCAGCAAGAGAAGUGUGUUCGUCGCCAUCAUUAGCUUCCCUUCCAGUGGUCAACUCCAGAAGGAUGACCCCAUAACUAUAUACAUCAAUCUUCUCGUUCACUCGUGUUGUGUGAGCAUAUUCUGCCAUCAGGUUAGAAAACCCGGUUGACUGAGAUUGCUAAUGGAAACAGAGGAAAAAUAACACACGUUUCUUUAGGAACUAGACUCCAACAUUUGUGGGGGUGUAAUGUUUACCUGGGGCAAUGUAGCCGAAGGAGCCAGCAACAGCUGACAGUGUAACAAGUUCUCCGUGCUUGACCAAGAUCUUGGCUAGACCAAAAUCAGCUAUUUUUGCAUUAAAAUCAGAGUCCAACAAAAUGUUACUCGAUUUCAUGUCUCGAUGCACAACGGGUGGCACACAGUCGUGAUGCAUGUAGCAGAGGCCCCGAGCAGCUCCCACUGCAAUCUGCAACCUCUUAGGCCAGUCCAGCACAACAUGGUGGACUGAACUCGUGAGAUUGGAUGGCCUGUUUCUCUUGUGAAGCCAUUGAUCCAGGCUUCGAUUCUCUGAGUACUCAUAGACAAGAAGUUUUGAAUUGUCCUUGGAUAUACAGCACAUCAGCUUCACUAUGUUGGCAUGUCGUAUGGAACUCAAUAUCUUGACUUCUGCAAGAAAUUCUUUUUCAAGCUUCUCUUCUAACUUCUUAUCUUUCCAAAUCUUUUUCACGGCAACAACAUCGCCUGUACGAUUGACAGGAACACAAUAAACUUUUCCUGAGUCGCCGCUUCCAAUCAUAUUACUUUCUGUCAAUCCUGAGAAUUUUUGACACUCUGAAAUUCAACCUCUGAAAUGCGGUGAGCUUCCAAUCAGAAUCCGAUCUGUUUCUCUUCCAAUAAGCUUUGACCAUGAAGAAUGAUAAGGACAAAGCCCACAAGGACAAAAGUAUGCCGAAAGUUAAGAUCAAUGCACGAUAUGUAGACGAAAUUUUGCUGGACUUUAGAGGUUGAGAAUUACAUAUGCUGAGUUUUGCUGAGGGGUUAGUCGCACAGAGACCUUGAUUGUCCAAGAAGCUUACGUCAUAAGCAGGAUUUUCAAAUUCAAUUGGGAUCUUCCCAGAUAGGUGAUUGGAAGAGAGAUUGAAGUUGCUGAGCGUCAGAUGCCCAAGUUGAGCUGGAAUUUGGCCAGAAAGUUGGUUUUCUGAAAGGUCCAGUGCAGUAAGGACUGGUAGAAACCCAAGUCCCGCUGGAAUUGGUCCAGAGAGUUUAUUUCGACUGAAAUUAAGAGUGUCGAGUGAUUUCCAUGAUAUAAUCUCUGAUGGAAGGAAGCCAGUAAGCUGAUUCUGAUCAAGAGAAAGAGUGAUUAAGCUAGGAAGAGCAGUAAGUUCCUGAGGGAUAGUACCGUUAAAAAGGUUAUUACCGGCGUCAAAAACCUCCAAGUUCCAGGAUGACACCCCGGUUGGAAUGUUACCUGAAAAUCUGUUCUCUCUUAUUUCCAGCCAUGUAAGAUUCCGAGACAUUUUCUCAGGAAGCUCACCGGUAAGAGAGUUGUUGCUCAUCAGCACCAGACUCAAUUUUGGUGCUGUCCACAUGCCACUAGGAAUGUUCCCAGACAAUCCAUUAUCAUGAACCCUCACUUCUGUUAAACUAGUGCAAUUUCCAAGAGAGCUUGGCAACUCCCCAGUGAGAUUGUUCUCAUAAGCUACAAGUGUUGACAGCUUAUCCCAAUAGCACAAAUGGUCUGGCAGUUUUCCAGUGAGCCUAUUCCCCGAAACCUCGAACCCUUCAAGCUCUGAAUACCUUCCAAAGUCUGGAGGCAAUAUUCCAGACAAAUUAUUGCUGAACACACUGAACUGUUUGAGAUUUGGUAGACGGCUAAUGCUUGCUGGAACCUCACCAGAAAGAACAUUAUAAGACAAAGCUAACCAUGUUAAGUUGGUAAGCUUUCCAUAAUCAUCUGGUAUUGGGCCUGUUAAAUGGUUUUCAGAAAGAUCAAUAACUUGCAAGUUCGAUGCUUCAACCACUUGAAGUAUGUCCCCAGACAGGCUGUUCCCUAACAAAUCCAAUUCUUCCAGUGCUGCCAUUUUACCCAGUGUUCCAGGGAGCUCUCCCAUCAGAUUCGAUUCACUUAUAUACAGAGUCUUCAACUUUUUCAACUGGGUGAAAUUGGAAGGCAGGUUCCAUGGCACAAGUUCUGUAUUGUAAGAGAGACUUAGGUGUUUAAGAUUGGACAAGUUACCUAUUUCUGGUGGCACGGAACCAUUAAAGUUGUUAAUAGACAGCUGCAGAUUCCUGAGCUCUUGUAACCUCCCAAUAGCCGC